GGAGUCGGGAGAGCAGCGUGCGUUCCUUCCUCUUACUUCCUCCCCGCCCUGCCGCGCUCCCGGGGCUUUGGGCCUCUGCCUUCCCGGGAGCAGCCGCGUUGCCUCCGCCGGGGAGGGGGGCGGUUAUGGGUGGGGGAGGGCGGGGGAGUCACGCUGUAGCCUGGGUCUGACCUCCCCAUGCCCCCUGGUGGUGGUGAAAGGGAACCGCGCUUCCCUUGUGCGACAUGUGCUGCUCCAAGCUCCAUGAGGGUGGUAGGGAGCUCAUGUCGAGCUUUGGGUGUUUCCGCCUUUUAAAUUUUCAGUCACCAAGCCUGAAGCCCAGGUCUGGGGGAUUCGAGAAAAAAAUUGGUUUACUGCUGUUGGCUAUUUACAUUCACCCCCCCUCCCCCAAAGAAAAGAUCUUGUUAUUCAGAAACUAGCAGCACUCCAGCUUAGGGAAGCAUGGGCUAGAAGCCACGAGGUCUGGACUGGGGGAGGGGCACUGAAGAGUGCCUUUACUUUUAGCUACUUUACAUUCCAAAAGAAGAAAAUAGAAUACCAGUAAUUAGGAGUCUUGCUUAAUUGCCUUUCUGAAGUACAAUGAAUUAAUAUUUUAUAUCGCUUAAACCCACUUUGUUUUGUAUGUUUUAACUGCCCUAAUCCCUCUUACUAUAACUUCAGUCCAAGUUUUUACAGUUCCAGUAAGUUGGAAGAUCAAGGUUGAAGCUAAAAGAAAUGGCUAAGUAUGGGAUGGGGUUAAGGAAAGAGUGUACUCUGGAAGCUAAUAGUUUACAAGUGAUAUUUUCUUCAAAGUUUUUUCUUCAAUGCCUUAGUAAAGAAAAUUUUCAUUUUUUAUUUUCAGCACACCUGAUAAAAGUAAAAAAAUUCUUGUUUCGAGGAAACUUGAAAGGAAUUAUAUGAAUGAGUUGGGUAAGUAUUAACAUUUUUAUUUACAAUUGCCUUAUUUGUUGGAAAGUCUAAAAUUAGAAUAAAUCGAAACUCUUCAGCUGAUUUUUGUUUCUGCUAGUAGUCAAGUAAAAUCCUUAAUAAAGUUCCAUAAAAGAUGUUCUUUAAUAUCUUCGUUGUCAACUAAUCAUUCAAGUUUAAAAUCAUUUUAUGUAAAAGCAGUUAUUUGACUCGUGUAUAAUUGAGAAUCUUGGUAUAUAAGAGGAUCCUCAAACUUAUGAAAAAUGCUGUUUAUCCACAAAUUGAACAUAACAUGCUUGUUUUAGCCAUUCUUAAAAAAUUUAAUUUCAUUAUUUAGAUAAGAUUUCAUUGAAUUAGAAGCACUUUGUUUUCUUGCAUGAGCCACUUUUUCCUACUGUACUCAGAUAUUUGUUUUGUGGGAGUAACUAACAUAAGUUCAUAAUCUUCUGGUCUUUAGGUAUGUUACAGGAACUACUGAGGCCAUUUAAUUUUCUAAAAUUUUGCUGAUUUUUGUGGUGUCUAAACUUUAGUUGAUGGUAUCUUGGUUUUGAUAGAAAAUACUGUAUAUUUUUUUGUCUUAAGUACAUGUACAGGUUACAGGUUUUUUUUUUCCAGGUCAUAAUUACCUGACUGGUAUUGAGGUGUGAGGCAAAAAGCAUAAUAUUUUUCUGUAUCUGGAAUUAAUAUAUUUCACAUGGAACUUUUUAUCCUGUUUUAUCAUGGUUAAGCUUUUUACAUUUGUGUUUUUUCCCCAUCAAGCAGGUAUGGAGAAAUCUAAAUCAUGUUAUAACUGAAGAUAGUAACCGGUCAGAAUAAUGUCAAAGUGCUUACAGUGCAGGUAGUGAUAUGUAGAAUCUACUGCAGUGAAGGCACUUGUAGCAUUAUAGUGACAGCCGCCUCUGGAACUGUAGGUGGGAUUUAAUGUUACAUGUUAUACUGGUGUCAAGUGCUUUUUGUUCUAAGGUGCAUCUAGUGCAGAUAGUGAAGUAGAUUAGCAUCUACUGCCCUAAGUGCUCCUUCUGGCAUAAGAAGUUAUGUUUUCAUCCAGUAAUUCAAGCCAAGCAAGUAUAUAGGUGUUCCAAUAGCUUAUUGUUUGCAGUCCUCUGUUAGUUUUGCAUAGUUGCACUACAAGAAGAAUGUAGUUGUGCAAAUCUAUGCAAAACUGAUGGUGGCCUGCUAUUUCCUUCAUCAAGAGGUUUUGAAUAAUUUUUGUCCUUUUUAUUGCUGCAAUGUAGAAGUCUGCCCAGUGUAUUUGAAAGGACAGCUUUUGUAGCACUAAAGUGCUUAUAGUGCAGGUAGUGUUUAGUUAUCUACUGCAUUAUGAGCACUUGAAGUACUGCUAGCUGUAGAACUACAACUUCAUCGCAUCUACCCAUCGAACUUUUAAUUGAGCACUGUUCUAUGGUUAGUUUUGCAGGUUUGCAUCCAGCUGUAUGAUAUUCUGCUGUGCAAAUCCAUGCAAAACUGACUGUGGUGGUGGAAAGUCAGUAGAAAAAUAUGUGGAAAAGUCAAACCCCUUUCUACACAGGUUGGGAUCAGUUGCAAUGCUGUGUCUGUCUGUAGUAUUGCACUUGUCCCGGCCUGUUGAGUUUGGUGGGGAUUGUGGCCGAGCGAUAUUGAAAUGAGUUAUUGAAGAUAAUAUCCACAGUAAAAUGAUCUUAAAGUACUUGGAGCACGAGCCUACAUUGGAUGUUCCUGUGGUGGUGACAUUGGCUUUACAUUAAUGUGCUAUUUCAGUGUCCCAAGUUGUAUUUGACUACAGAACUGAAAACUGUUUAGAGUUCAAAGUUAAUCUUUAUAUCUGGGUUAAUAUGGGUUCUUGGGUUUUAAUGUGCAUGUUUACUAACUGUAAGACUUCAUGAUUUUGAAAGAAGUACCUAAUAGGGGAUAAGUUUAAUUAAGGUAAGUCCUUAUCUUUGCAACAUCCUCAUUGAAGGGUUAUCUGGCUAUAUAAAGACAGGUGAUUACACUUAUACUGAAAUUACAUUUAAAUUGAAAUGGUUUUUAAAAUAUUUUGAGGAAAAGGUCCUAUUUUGAGUGCUGAUUAAGCUUGGUGUUAAGUAUUUCCUAUAUUGGUAACUUCCAGGCUUACUGGUUAUCUUCAAACAGUACAAAAACUGCUUUAAGAUAUGGUUAGUGUGGAGGUGCUACAUGUUGAAUCCUAAGACUAUAACUUUUCCACAAUGUCAACUCAGUUCCCUAAUAUCUUCAAAACCUUGAAGAUUAACCUGGACAGUUUUACAUUGGUUUAGUGGCAAGAAUCAUCUGAUUUGGCAUCAAAUACUAGACUGAAAAUCCUAUUCCAUAUGCUGCUCUGGUAGGGUAUAGGAAAGCUUGAAAUUUAUCAAAUCUUCAUGACUUAACAUGACAACUAAAUUUUUAUGUAAGGUACCUGGAGAGUUAAGUGUUAUGUUUUCUAGGAAUAAUAAUUUUAUUUAAAGGCUUCAAGUUGAUGUGAUGUUGAGCAUACACAAGCAAAAAAGGGUAGUCCAGUUAAAAGUUGUCACUUUUGUAUAGUUGUAAUGUACAUUUUUCCAAAUACUUUAAAAAAGUAAGAUGGGAGUUGCAUAUGUGUGCCACUCCAUUUCCAAUUGGCUUGUUAAAAUUAUAUGCCAAAAUAGGUCUUCUCAUUAGUGCUGCUUUGGAUCUGAAUAAAAGUUACAAGAUGAUUGUUGGGGAGGGAAUUGGUUGCUAUUCAGAUAUUUACUGAUUCCAUAUAUUUACUGCUUCGUUUCACAAAUUAUAUCUUCAUUGUUUUAAUAUUGGUUUCAGAGAACAUAUCACUUAAAUAUUGACAAAAUUGUAACCUUUAAACAGCAGUAAUUUGGAAAUCUAAUGGGCUAUAAUAGGUAAGUGCUUUUGAAAUGUUAAGGUAAGUUUGUGGGACAACUAAUUGAUGUCUGAUACCAAAUAAAUACCUUUUUACUCUAGGAUUAGAGUAAGGAUUUUAUAGAGUUAGGAUUGAAUAAUGGGAAGUACACAUUAAAGCCAAACUAAAAUAAACUUAAAACUCUUCUGAUAGAAUCUAGAAACUAGUUUUUUCUGAACCUUUGAAACCAUGAGUAUUACUAAAGAUAGUAUUUAAAAUCAAGUGCUUAGCAAAGAACUGAAUUAAUGUAUAAGUAUUCAGACUAAUAAUAUCCAGGAAGAAAAUUAAAUGUUGAUAGGUUUGCGCACAGUUUUCCCCUUCUCCCCUUCGGUAUCCAAAAUAAUUCUUGACUAGUUUUAUUAAGGUGGACUGAUUUCCUUCUCAUUAGGCAUUAUCUAGUUGUGAUGCUUAACCAUGCUUCAAAGUAAAGGCAAUUUGGGAAUUUUAUUCCCACCUGUUGAUGAUUUAUUUAUCCUAUAGUAAUAGUUAUCUGCAUGGUAAGUCGAUAAAAGAGAACAAGCAUAAUUUCAAAUAAUAAGUUGUAUUUCUUUGUGUAAGUCAACCUUAAAAUGUAUGGUCCCAGUAUGUAGUAUCUGCUAAUAAAAAGCAGAACUUGAAGUCAGAAAUAUUAUGCCUUUUUAGAGUACCUAACAUGAUAAUUUUUAAAGAAAUUUCUAUUGGCUUUUGAGGGAAAUUUGUGUUUGAAAAGGUAAAUACUGACUAAAUUCUUGAAGAUGGGAGAGCAAUUUAAAAAUUGCACUUAUACUUUGAAAGCAUCCUGUUUUCACAGUGAUUUAUUGGGGAGGGAGAUAUCUAAAUAUAAAGGAGAGGAAGGGGAAGGAUUUGGGUAUGCUUGAUCAUAAACAGCAUACUAUUCUUGGGUUCUCUAUAGUGCUGUUAGGUUUUUAUGGUUCAAUUUCUAUCCAUUCACAUAAGCCUCAUUUGAAUUUUUUAAAGCAAAUUUUUGAAUAUUCUCUGCAAUCUUUAAGAAGACACCUAUUCUAAGUUUUAAAUGUUGGAAACUAAAAAACUAAAAAAUGCUAUGUUUGAAGUUUGAACUGUAUGUCCUAAAAGAUAAUUUAAAUCUCAAGUAUUUUAUAUCAAUUAUUACAAAUGGAGGCCUUUAGAAAAUUGCUAUUGAUAAAAAGAUGGGAGAGAAAAGGAGUCAGACCAAACUACUAAUGCUUAAAUUUUAAGUGAGUAUAUUGUGAACAAUUAUAUGUCAAGAAAUGUUCUUUCCACACAUUUUUAGUGUAAAUUAGCUCAAUUUGGUGUAUUAAUUUAAGAUGAUAAUGUGCAAUCCUUGUAAAAUGCUUAAAAUCACUAAGGUUUUAUGUUAAAGGACCAAAGAAAACUCCUGGUGUUCACAAUUGGGUAGUUUAAAGACAAAUGACAACCAGGAUGACAGGGCUCUCUCCAUGUGGCAAUUGGUGGCAGAAGAAAUAAGACUAUACAAGGCAGCUGGGUGGCUCAGUGAGUUGAGAGCCAGGCCUAGAGACAGGAGGUCCUCAUUCAAAUCUGAUCUCAAGACACUUCUUAGCUGUAUGACCAUGGGCAAGUAACUUAACCCACCCCCAUUGCCUAGCCCAGCAUUGGCUAAUAAAUAACCUUUUCUGAGUUCCAGUACCCAGAGGGCAAAUUCAAGCUCUGAGCCCCUAGAUUUCCAGAGAGAGCUAAGGGAGAAAGAGUUUGCUUUUUGGGUGGCUGGACAGAGGGACCAAGCCAUGCAAAAAAUGUCCUCAGAUAGCUGGGAAGAGGUAGAACAGAACAUCUCCCUGUGUGCUGGAUAUCUGACAACUCUCUGCCUAGCCUUUACUGAUCUGCCUUGGAACCAAUACACAGUAUUGAUUCUAAGAUGGAAGGUAAGGGUUUAAAAAAAAAAAGGAAAACGAGACUAAAGGAAUUAAAUUUUAGUCAGGUUCACCAUUCCUGUUUUACUCUCCUCAGAAUACUUUUCUCUGAAUUGUCCUGGGUUGGGAGUGAUCAGUCUUAAAUGAUCAUGAAGAGAGCAAAGGGGUAUCAGCACCACUGUUGAAAUGGCAUGAAAAUCACACUAGGUAUGAAAGGUGUGUAAUUAUAUUUUUGUUUCUGUUACAAUGGAUUUGAUAUGGGGUUGGCUUUAUUCCUAUAUUGAUUCCAAAAAUUAAGGAUAAAUAUUGAUUGAACUUAAAAAAAUAUGUUCUUAUUAGUAUGAUUAACAAAGAUUUGAACUGCAGGAAUAUACCAGGAUUUUUAGGUUAUGUUCUGUUAAUAGCUUUUAUAAUCCUCAGCAAAUAAAAUGGUCCAGUUUGAGUUUUUUGAAGAUCUCUUCUAGAAAUAAAACUUUUUGAUGUUGAAAAAAGUCACCCCCAUUGAAUGCCUGAUUAAAUGGAUCAAAUGAAUUGAUCUGAAACCUCGGUAAGUACCUUCCUCUGGAUCCUGGCAGGUUUUGGAUAGCUGAAUAAGAAAUUGGUUCAAAGCUUUGGUGCUUCAUAAAUAGACCAUGAAAAUGACAUAAUUUUACCAUUAUUAUGCUUUCAAUUAUUUGGAUGAGAUUUUCUUUUAUUUUUUGUACCUCAAUCCACAGCUUAUGUUGACAUAACUUAUUGGUAUUCAAGAUUUCAGUAAGUCACUUAGUUUAAUAAUAAUUAGGCUAUAUAUCAUGAAUCAUAGUUGAAACAAAUUUAAGUACUUGAAAAUUUCCAAAACGAUUCCCAUAAUCUCCCCAAUUUCAGUGAUCACAUUCAGUGAAUUCCUGAUAAGAGUCUAAAAUUUUGCAAUAAAUACCCAAUAUCAUCUGCAUUUGUUGUAGUUCUACCCCAAUUAUUCCAGUGGUUUUUGGUAUAUUGUCUUUUACAUCCCUGUGUACAGUUAAUGUGCUCUGGCUACCUUACCAAUCUUUAUUCUUUGGCUAGAAUCAGGUCUAUUUUUUCCCUUUUGUUUCCUGUUAGUAAUCUUAUAUUGGAGUUGCUUUGUUACUUGUGUUUUCAUGAACUUGUCAAGCAUCUUCAAGAUAUCCAGUUUUUCAACUCAAUUUUUGUCAAUUUUUAAAUAUUUUUACCAUUCUUCAGAUGUUUUAUUUGCUUUACUGUCAUAUAACAUAUAUUUGGAACUGGUCUUUUUAAUAACUUGUGCAAGCAUAUAUAUAUAUCUUCCUAAAUUUGCCAUACAUUCCCUAUUUACAGUAUGAAAUGCUAGUUUAAAAAAUUUUUAAACUUCAUUAUCAUACUCUUGACUUUUCCUUGUGCUCAAACUACAUCUGUGAGGCUUAAUUUGAGAUCAUCACAAUUAUUACCUGAAACUGAAGUACUAUUUGCCAAAAAUAUUGAUAUCUCUUAAUGAUAUUCUUAAAGGGCAUGUGGAAUUCAAUAAUAGUUUUAAAAAUGGAAAGUUUUAUACCUGUAUCUUAACUAAAUUAUUUUUGUACCCUAGUUUGGGAUACCAAAAACAUCAAUGAAGAGAAUUCAGGAUUUUUUACAGUGUAUGAUACGUGCUUACUCUUAAAGAAUUGGUAUUGCUCUUCUGCAUUGGUUGAGAUUUUUCUAAGUUGUCCACCUAUGAUAGGUCAAACCUUCCUCCCCCACCAAAGGAUAUUUACAUGGAACUUGGGAAUGGGAAUAAAAACCUGGCUUUGUGGCCUAUAUUUGCUUCCUUCCAAGUAUGACCUUGUGCCAAGUUAUUUAAAUUUCAUAAAGUUGUUUCUUCCUCAUCUAAAAAAUUAUUGUUCUUACUAGUAUUAGUGAGGUAAAUGUUGAUCCAUUUAAAAGUAUUUGGAAUGUUUUGCUUGUUAGAUUAAUUUUUACAACUCAUUAGGCAAUUAUACAUUAUUUAAAGUAUCUUGUUGGUUUUUCAUUUCCUUUCUAGAAAUAGAUGCUGAUCUCCAGAAUGUAUGUGUGAAGAUACUAAACACCAGAUAAAAAUAUGUACAGCUACAGUAUUUCUAUGAAUGAAUCUAUUCACAAGACAAGUGUAUGUGUGUCAAUAGUAGGAGAAAGGCUGGCAAUAGGAGAUAUAAAAGAAAUUUGGGAAAGUUUGGAAAUUUGAGUAUAAAAAUGCAGGAAAAAAUGUCCUUGCUGUGAUAGUCACAACCUCUCUGAACCUUUUUUUGGGGGUGUUUGCUCAGAUGAUCAUUCAAAAGCUUUGAAGUAGCUAUAAAAGUAGGUUUUUCCAAGUGAAAGAAAUGGUCUUAUAGUUGUUUGAUAUGAUCUUACUGAUUAUAUAUGUUGUCAAAUUUGUAUUUAUAUAAUCCAAAUGAAGAUUUUGGAUUGAAUUGGGAUGAAAAUGUUCUUCACUGUGUUCAACACAUAGACCAUACUGAGAGAUAAUAGUUUUGCACUUGCAGUUAGCCUUAUUGCAUUGUUACGUGUGCAUUGAGUUAGAAUUUUACUUUUAUUUUUACCAGGUAAAUGCUCUAAGAUAGACACAAAAAAAAUGCCAGAAUAGUUUUAAAUUUAUAUUCAAAGAGUAUUUUUUAAUAACUCCCCAAAUCAAUUUGAAAAGCAGUUUAAAAUUUUAAAAUGAUGCUUUGCUCAUGGCUAUUUGUAUAUAUCAAGGAACCUACAAAAUAAAAAAAAUCAUAGAUUUUAUUCAGACUAAAAGUAAGAUGCAAUUAUCCUACCAAGUUUGAUAAUAUUUGAAUAUAAUUCAAACUACAAUAAAAAUUUUAAUGGAAUUUUACCUUUUAGUCUUUUGUACAACUGGUCGCAGCAAAAGUAAUAAACUUCCAUACAGGUAGCAAGGCUUCAAAUCUGACUUUUUUGGCUAUAGGGUUACUGGCCUCCAUUUGCUUAUAUAAAAUGACAUCUCAAUGACCUAAAACUUCCUAUUACCUCUUAACAUUCUCAUUAUAGUCACCUUUCACCAUCCCUUUAUUAACUAAACUUUAGAAUAAUUAAAUCUUAAAAAUCUUAAAUAAUUACCUUAAAAUGAAGUACCUCCAAAUCUAUAUAAUCCAACUUAACAUUUUUUGUUAGGUCCAAAAUGGAGUCUUUUAUGCAGAGAAUAUCAAGUUAGGGCUUUUUGAUCCAGUAGGGGAGUGACUUGGAGGUAGAAUUCCCUAGAUUGAACAGAUUGUUGUAUCAAAUAGAUAUGUUCUAAACCUAGUUGAGUGGAAGAAUGGUGACUCCCAUAAAUAGCCACCUAGACCCUAAUGAGUUCUGUGCCUUCCUUUUGUUAAUAUUCUUUUCCAUUUUAUAAUAUAUCAAAGAAGUUAGUUAUGCUCCAUAAUCAUUAAAAUACUGUAGGGUUUGUUAGAAAAUAGCUAAAAUGGUAUAGGAAUGUAAAGAGGGCUAUUGUGCUGCAAAAACUAUUAUGUAAAAACUAUAUACCAGAACACAACCAAAAAAAUGUCAAAAGGACAUAGAGUGGGAAUCCUGGGUAUGUCAGAUUUUGAAAACAGAUUAUUUUUGCUAAACUUAUAACAGAUAAGGGGAAAGAAUAUACCAAGAAAUGGGAGAUUUUAACUAGUCCUUAAUGAAUGAAACUAAUUUUUUGAAUUUCUAGUGUCUAGCUAGUGACUUUGUAAGGAUUUAGUGAAUAUAUAAAGUUAACAAGAUAAUAGAAAAGGACAUGGGUGGCUGGUAUCCUCAAAAUUCUGAGGCCUAGGAGAAAUGCUACCAGUAAAUUUGGAUGGGCCCAAGAAUAGGUUUUAAUCAAGAAUUGCAUAUAAGGCAUUGCUGAGGUGUAAUUAACUACAUGGGAAUUAGUUGUGUUACUAAAGAUAUCCUUCAUUUGAGAGAUGUUUUAGAUCUGUACCUGUAAUCAAUUAUAGAACUCAUUCCCCUAAAUUAAUUUAGAAGAAAGUGUAAAGUUCAAGUAAUUCCCACAUAACCCUACUUAUACAUUUUUAUAUACUUAGACUUGGAUAACUUAAUUUUGUUUUAAGGAUCCCCUUAAAUGUGGCAGCUUGCCCCUUCAAUCAUUUUCAGAAAUUUGUCAUAAUUGUCUAUACCUAAUCCCUUGUGACAAGUAUUCUAAAUAUUUCUCCUUCCAUCAUCCCCCAUUAGAACAUAAAUCAGGUCAUUCUUCAAAAGGUAUCUGAUGUUGAUCUGGACCAAUGUCCUCCAGGAAGUUGAGUGGAAGACAACUGAAUAAAAUUUGUGGUAGAAUAGAUAAAAGAUGCAUAUAAUUAGGAAAAUAUUUUCUUAAAACUCUUACUAAAGCAAUGCAAGUAUCAGUGAAAUAAAAAAAACCAAACGGGGAAGUGACAGCAGCAGAAAAUAUUCAAGAAAUAGAAACACUCCAGCUAUUAAGAACUCAGUAUUUGAUUAAAAUUUCUGAGAAAACAGUAAUUAUAUUAUGUGACUUUAAUAGUCAAACACUACAGAAAUAUAAGGGAGAUUAAAGGUUAACCUGCAAGGAAUUGAAGAUUAUUUAAUAGAAUUUAAAGGUUUAAUUAGAAUGAAAACAUUACAUUUUGGUAACAAAUUUCCUGAUAGACAUCAAUUCCUUUGUUUCUAUGUGUUUAUAGGGAAUUAAUUCCAAUUCCAGGUUAGAAGAAAAAGCCAUUCUCUGGUUGACAAAAAUUGAACUAUAUGAGUAGAUUCUCAAGGAUGACUCCUUGGAAGAUGGUAACAUCAGGAACACUGAUAAAAACAAGAGCUGAAUUGGGGUCUGCUUAUGUGAGAGAAACUAGGGGAACCUUUAGAGGGAGAAGUAAAAUACCCAAAGCCUCUGAUCUCAGCAGUAGGAUGUAUGCUACAAAAAUAUUCUUGGAAAAUUAAAUGGAAGAGCAGUCAUUUUAAUCUCGGGGAAUCAAGCACCUAAGAGGAGCAUGUCUUGGCUAUUUGGGAGAAAGAGAAUAUUAUUUCAAAAUGGACAUCUUACAAAAUGGAUGAAGAAGAUUAAAGUUAGAGGAAGAAAAGCCAAGAUGACAGAUUUUGAUCAUUAUAAAGUCAUGGAGGCAAGGCAAAUUAGAAGCGAAAGAGUUAUCAAGUAUGACAUGAAGAAACUCUUUAAGAAUCAUCUACCCCAAAAGCAACUCCUACAGCAGGAUCUACCCAGAAGAUAGCAGCUGUCCCAAAAAUCGUUGUCAAGAUCUAUACUGAGAAGACCCUGGCCAUGAACCUCUUUUUCUAUAUAUCUAAAUAUAUCUAGCUUGGAAGGUACAAUCCUGGAAGGCAGAUAUCUUCAAAGGCCAAAAUUUCUCAUCCUAAAAUUACUCCCCCCAAAUUUUUUUUUUAAUUUUGUAUUUUAGAGUAAUAACAAUCCCCCAUGAAGAGGGUGUUGAAAAACACAGGACUCAUUUAGGAAUGCAUAGCUGAGUUAUGAGGUAUAUGAAUCAAUUGGCAAGAGAAAUCCAAAACAUCAAAGAAAUCUAAAUAAAAGAGAAAAGAUAACUUCUGGAAGAAAUAUGGACUAUCAAAGUCUUAUCUAUAAAAAUUCUAAGUAAAAGAAAAAUAAAUUUAUUACAGGUCCUUGAAUCAUGGCCCAAUUAAAGUAAUUUCUAUUCUACAAGUCUGUAGGACAAAAUGAAGCAAUAUUUUAAUUACACCAUUUGCAGCCAAGACUAUAGGAAGUUGCCACACUAUGAAAGACAGAAUAGGGACUAGAUUAUAGGAGCCAGGUAGGAGCUGAAUUUGAGUUACUUGAUAGAAUGUGGGAUGAGAAAGACCUGCCUCCGACACUGUCAAAACAGCUGCAACCUUGAACCCGAAACAAGUUCAAGUCCUCUUGUCUUGGCUCAGAAUUCCAUCAAUUCCAUUGGGGGGAUUGGUUGGUCUCUGACCUUGUGCUUGAUUGGCAAUAUGCAGUUUUAAUGGUUCUUUUUGUAUUUUCUUGUCCUUGAAUGAGACAGAAUCAUUAAGCAAAGUCCUGUAAUUUAAAAAAAAAAUAAUUUCUGGGGAGGCAGAGUCAAGAUGUCAGCUUAGAAGCAGCAGAAGUUCAGACCUCUGAAAUCUCUUCCAUACCAAUCACAAGCUGAAUGCUCCUAGGGGAUUGAAAUUCAAACUUAAUAGGACGGAGGCGGGGAACCCUCCUUCUGAACUUAAAUCAAAAGGUAAGCCCCCCCCAAAAGCUAGAAUCCGAGAACACUCGGGUCUAAGAAGGCAGAAGGAAGGUCCCAGC